rnacentral:rRNA from 1 species
AUUGAACGCUGGCGGCAGGCUUAACACAUGCAAGUCGAACGAGUGGCGGACGGGUGAGUACUGCUUGGGAAUCUAGCUUAUGGAGGGGGAUAACUACGGGAAACUGUAGCUAAUACCGCGUACCAUAGGCUGAGCCCAAGUGGGAUUAGGUAGUUGGUGAGGUAAAGGCUCACCAAGCCGACUCUCCCUAGCUGGUCUGAGAGGAUGACCAGCCACACGGGGAAUGAGCCACGGCCCAGACUCCUGCGGGAGGCGGGAGUGGGGAAUAUUGCGCAAUGGGGGCAACCUGACGAAGCCAUGCCGCGUGAAUGAAGAAGGCCUUCGGGUUGUAAAGUCCUUUCGGUAGCGAGGCGUUAACUACAGAAGAAGCACCGGCUAACUCCGUGCCAGCAGCCGCGGUAAUUC